rnacentral:lncRNA from 1 species
CGGAGGGGCCGAGGACAGCAGCCCGGGCCCAGGACCGCCGUCAAUGGCGCUGGCGCUCCCACCCUGUUCCCGGUGGCCGGCCAGCCGAGGCCCAGCUGACACGCUAUUUUUUCCCCUGCUUUACUAAAUAUGGUCAGGGAGCACAGCCCGAGGGGGCCACUUGGCCGGGGCCGCGUGUUUGGGAUGCUUGGCCGGGUAUAUAAGGACUGCAAAGGUGAGGCCGCUCCUGACCCGAGGGGGGCCCCCACGCCCGCUCCGGCCCCUCGGGUCAGCCCUCCCCUCCCUCGCCCUCCCCUCCCCCCCUGCGUGUGUCUCGGCGAUGGGCUGUGUGCAUGUGCGAGCCUGCACACCCGCGGGACCGGCCCCUUUUGUUCCACCCUGACCUCUACCUUGCGCUGACCCGGCUGGGGGUGCGGAGCGUCUGCAGACACAGCCCCGAGCAGGGAGGGGCUCAAGGUGCGCGGCUCGAGGUGGCUCCUCCGUAACUCUGCAUCGCCCGCCAGUCCUGCGCCUCUGGUCCCUCCCUCCCUCCCUCUCUCUCCCUCUCUCCUCAAGAUCUCCCUUCCUGCUAAGUCUGCGCUGCUGCGGGAGGGCUGGGGGAAGGGCAGGGUGCGGAGGGGGGUGCGCGGUGUCUUCUUUCUCUUUGCCUGCCCCCCACCCCCAAGUGCGGUCGCCUCCGAGCUCCGGCCUCCCCCACCCCUGCAUUCGCGAUUGGCUCCGGGAGAAGGUGGAUGGUGCUGGCGCGGCUGCAGCAUCUCCCCGGGAGCCACGCGGGCGCAUCGUACCGGGAGCCGCGACCCUGCGCCCGCUGCCGCCGCUGUCGCCAGCCCGGCCGGAGGGGCUCCGCGGUGAGUCCUGCCCAGCCGCCGGACGGCCCCACAAACUUGCCGGCCGCCGCGGUGGGGGAAGGAGGGGAAGGGGCUCCUGCGGCCACGUGGGGGGCUCCUUGAGGGAAACACCCCGCCCUGGCUCCAGGGGCUGCGCCGAGAGGCAGAGGCCAGGGUGCCACAUGGCUCCGCGCCCCGGGUCAGGCCCAGGGCAGCAGUGGGGUCAGAGGCACCUACAGCCCCAGGCCCCAGGCCUCCACUCCAGCCUCUGAAACGCCCGAGCCCUGGAGCCUGGGGG